rnacentral:ncRNA from 2 species
AGCAUAUCAAUAAGCGGAGGAAAAGAAACCAACAGGGAUUGCCCUAGUAACGGCGAGUGAAGCGGCAACAGCUCAAAUUUGAAAUCUGGCGCAAGCCCGAGUUGUAAUUUGUAGAGGAUGCUUCUGGGCAGCGGCCGGUCUAAGUUCCUUGGAACAGGACGUCAUAGAGGGUGAGAAUCCCGUAUGCGACCGGUUGGCACCCGUCACGUAGCUCCUUCGACGAGUCGAGUUGUUUGGGAAUGCAGCUCUAAAUGGGUGGUAAAUGUCAUCUAAAGCUAAAUACCGGCCAGAGACCGAUAGCGCACAAGUAGAGUGAUCGAAAGAUGAAAAGCACUUUGGAAAGAGAGUUAAAAAGCACGUGAAAUUGUUGAAAGGGAAGGGCAUGCAACCAGACUUGUUAGCGGUGUUCCGCUGGUCUUUUGACCGGUCUACUCGCCGCUGACAGGCCAGCAUCACCUGGGUGCGCUGGAUAAAGGCGUGGGGAAUGUAGCUCCUCGGAGUGUUAUAGCCCCGCGCACAAUACAGCGUCGCCCGGGUGAGGUCCGCGCUCCGGCUAGGAUGCUGGCGUAAUGGUUGUCUGCCGCCCGUCUUGAAACACGGACCAAGGAGUCUAACAUCUAUGCGAGUGUUCGGGUGUCAAACCCCUACGCGUAAUGAAAGUGAACGGAGGUGGGAGCUUCGGCGCACCAUCGACCGAUCCUGAUGUCCUCGGAUGGAUUUGAGUAAGAGCAUAGCUGUUGGGACCCGAAAGAUGGUGAACUAUGCCUGAAUAGGGUGAAGCCAGAGGAAACUCUGGUGGAGGCUCGCAGCGGUUCUGACGUGCAAAUCGAUCGUCAAAUUUGGGUAUAGGGGCGAAAGACUAAUCGAACCAUCUAGUAGCUGGUUCCUGCCGAAG